GAGGGUAUAGCUCAGUGGUAGAGUGCAUGCUUAGGGUGCAGGAGGUCCUGGGUUCAAUCCCCAGCACUUCCA
rnacentral:tRNA from 1 species